GUAACAAGGUGAACCUGCGGAAGGAUCAUUA
rnacentral:rRNA from 1 species